rnacentral:lncRNA from 1 species
UUUACCACAAAAUAAAACCAAUAUCACAAACCAUAAAUUUUUUUUAUUUAAAAAAAAAACUUAAAAAAUAUUAUACAAAAAUUGGAAAAGCACAUCAAAAAUUAUAUAUAAACACGCACACAUAUAGAGAGGGAUUUACAUGUGGAGUAGGAGUGGAGCAAGGGACAGAAGAGGAAGGAGUGGGGUGGUGAUGAGACUGCUGAGAAGGAGAGGCAGAAGGGACUCUCGUGCCACCAUUGAUAACAAGCCUUAAAGGGUUUGUAGCACUCAAUCUUUGCAUUCUUGACAUUUGAAAUUCUCUUGGAGGAAUAUUUUGAGUCACAUGUUCAAAUCCUAUCUCCUUUUUUUCAUAUCUUUCAAUUCUUCAUCUUCUUUUUCAUUCUCCUUUUCUCUUUUCUCUUCUUCACCACCUACACCACACACAAAAAACCCAAAAAAAAUAAAAACAAAAACAAGAAAAAAUGUUCGAGAUCUGAUAUUAUGCCUUUGUAGAUCUAAUAUAUAUUUGGUAGCAUAAUAUUUGGGAUUAUAAUAUUUGAGAUCUGAUAUUACGCCUUGGCAGAUCUAAUAUAUAUUUGGUAGCGUAAUAUUUGGGAUAGCAUGAGAUCUGAUAGUUCUUCCACUAGUUGAACUAGCUAGAGCAUAUAUAAAUU